GUUGUUGUUCCAAUUACUGCGAGAGGAAAAGAUGGAUAUUGCAUAACUAGGCUAAACAUGGGACCACAUGAGUGCUCAUGACUAGGUGGCAGCACAAAAAGGACUACUUAACAAUAAAAUACUAUAAUAAACAUAUUAUGCACAUCAUUCUUUACCUAAUAGUAGAAUAUGCUAAUUAACAACAAAGAAAACAAGCUGUAGUGUAAAAGCAUAAUAAACCAACCUGUUAAGUCAAU
rnacentral:misc_RNA from 1 species